rnacentral:snoRNA from 1 species
AUGAGGAAAAGGCAUAGAAGCUGAAAGAUGAUGAAAGGGGACCUCACCGA